ACGCUCGACACCGGGAGCAGCAGUGGGGAAUAUUGCACAAUGGGGAAACCCUGAUGCAGCGACGCCGCGUGAGCGAAGAAGUAUUUCGGUAUGUAAAGCUCUAUCAGCAGGGAAGAAACUGACGGUACCUGACUAAGAAGCACCGGCUAAAUACGUGCCAGCAGUCGCGGUAAUCUGAGCGGGCUGGCAAGGC
rnacentral:rRNA from 1 species